CUCAUACCCUCAUUCAAUCACUGCUGUGAUCCCUUCCCAAAAUGGUGCAGCCUGGGAAAGAACUGAAAAAACUCACUAAAGAGUCAAGACAGAGACACCAGAAAGACCAAAGAAGACUUGGACGCAACAUCAGAGGACAGAGAGGGAUGUUCAGAACACACUCAGUCUGGUUAGAAGAGAAUGACUCCUCAACCCAAGAGGCCCUGGAGCAGCUGUGAUCAGGUUAGAAGAGAAUGACUCCUCAACC